UACGAAGGGGGCGAGCGUUGUUCGGAUUUACUGGGCGUAAAGGGCGCGCAGGCGGCUCAUUUUGUCAGGCGUGAAAGCCCCGGGCUUAACCUGGGAACUGCGUUUGAUACGGAUGGGCUAGAGUUCGGGAGAGGAGAGUGGAAUUCCCAGUGUAGAGGUGAAAUUCGUAGAUAUUGGGAAGAACACCGGUGGCGAAGGCGGCUCUCUGGACCGAUACUGACGCUGAGGCGCGAAAAGCGUGGGGGAGCAAACAGG
rnacentral:rRNA from 1 species